GCUCCAGCCUCUGCAGUCAGCAGCUAGCUGAUGCCUUGUUCUACGAUGGCAUGUAAACUUUCAAAUAUACAUUCCCAAUACAAGUUGGAUUCCAUAUUAGCAUUUCAACACUUAAAACAAAAUAUAGACCCAGAGUGCUCAGAAGUGUGUACGGAUACAAAAUUUUCAUUUUUUCCCCCAUAGAUUUCAUCAAAGGAGCCAGUGUUGCUGGGUAUUCUACUGCACCAGGGUUUCUCCUUGGCAGCGUGGACAGAAUUUCUACUGAUGGUCACAAUUCAGAGAAGAGGGAUAAAGAAUCUUCUCUCUCCAGCGGGCAUAUAAAUGAGCCGUUUUCUGCUGUAGAUAAAGCGACACUUGAAGAAGCAGUUAGGACAGAUGUUCAAAGCAAGAACGUGCCGUGUGCUCAGCUUCUGCAGUUCCUCCAAAGGAACAUCAUCAUUGCCGCCGCCUCGGUGGCAGGAGUCCUCGUGGUCACAGUGUUGCUGCUGCUGGCGUUGACCACAUGCAUCAGGAGGAAGCAGCUAUCACAUCCUCCGGCGAACAUGACAUAUAAUAUUUUUAUUCUGAGUGGGAAGACUUGGUGGCAAAAAUUUCAAGAAAAGAACCCCAGAAAACACAGCGAUAAACAGAAACAGUUGUUGAAGAGCAAGUCCUGUGUGUAG
rnacentral:lncRNA from 1 species